rnacentral:rRNA from 1 species
AUUGAACGCUGGCGGAAUGCUUUACACAUGCAAGUCGAACGGCAGCACGGGGGCAGCCCUGGUGGCGAGUGGCGAACGGGUGAGUAAUACAUCGGAACGUGCCCGGUCGUGGGGGAUAACGUAGCGAAAGUUACGCUAAUACCGCAUACGAUCUGAGGAUGAAAGCGGGGGACCUUCGGGCCUCGCGCGAUCGGCGCGGCCGAUGUCAGAUUAGGUAGUUGGUGGGGUAAAGGCCUACCAAGCCGACGAUCUGUAGCUGGUCUGAGAGGACGACCAGCCACACUGGGACUGAGACACGGCCCAGACUCCUACGGGAGGCAGCAGUGGGGAAUUUUGGACAAUGGGCGCAAGCCUGAUCCAGCCAUUCCGCGUGCAGGACGAAGGCCUUCGGGUUGUAAACUGCUUUUGUACGGAACGAAAAGGCUCUGGCUAAUACCUGGGGCUCAUGACGGUACCGUAAGAAUAAGCACCGGCUAACUACGUG